UAACAACCUAGUUAUCUCCCUUCACCACGUAAUUUCCGGUUUGUAAUUGAAAAACGAGAAAUUUUGAAACAAUUACGUUUUUUGUCUACAUUUACUGCUGUUCGAGGAUGCUUCUGUCGAGUUAUGACAGGACAGUAUCCAUGCUCCCUGUCCGACACCCUCCCAUGUUGCAGUUAACAGUUAACAUUUCCCUGCCAGUCUUCUUCCCCCAUCAUGCCCAACUGACUGGUCCAAUAUUGUUCAAAACUAUAUGGAAAUGCCUCGUCACCGUAGUUUGGUGUAUGUGCAGAGCACUCAGGAUAACAAGCAGUUUAUUUGCUUGAUGAGACUGAUUUGCCGGGGAAGGGAGCAGAUACUGCUGUGAGCAUGAUGAUCACUACUUCAAGUACCAUGGUUUGGAGAAGAAAAGCCGAAAUUGGCACUUUGGUCUUUGGAAAAGCAGCAAACAGGCCUGGCUUUGUGCAGUGCAGGUGUGUUGCAUCGGAUAUGGUGUAGUUUACCUUGAUGAAAACCAGAGUAGUUGUGUUACCUGAACUCCUUUCCGAAAUCUGCAUCAAGGGGAUGGAUCUUGAAUGGCAGUGGUAUUAACAUGACAAGAUCAGAUAAUACAGCAGAUUUGACAUUUAAAAAGACAGUGUGCCCUUGACAGUCUCAACCAAAGCAUUGAACAAACUGUGCAACCUGUUAAUUAACUUUUAGAGCUGUUUGUUUGGACUAGUGUUUGUCAUUCAGAAAUAAGUAUUAACAUUAUUUCUCAGUAUGAGAAAACUCCAGGAAUUAGAAACUUACUGAUAUUUACUAUAACUAUGUAAACAAACCUCUUAGGGGUUUAGCCAGGUUUAAGAAAGACAGGGAGCCACAGAAAAGAGACAGGUUUCCAUGUGUCAAUAGAACACCCUUCAUUUAGCUGUGAAGAAUUUUAACAUUUUGAAUGUUACAGAAAAUGUAAGGAACAUUGUAUAAUGUUUAAUUGAAGUACUAUUAGGUUUCAAGUGCCAAAAAUGUAAAGCCUGUGUGUAUUUAUAAUCAUGUUAAUAUAAAGUUGUUAUCAAAACAUAAUCAAUAUUUGACUGUCUUAAGCUUUUAAUUCUAUGAAGGCAGGAGGUUGCCAAUCUAUUUCUUAGUUCUACCUUUUUCAUAACUGUGGCCAGGGGUUGGCAGGCCCUUAUAACACUUUAAAAAAAACUGAUAAAAUUACAAUUUAACUUUGUUAACUUUGAUAUGGUAAUCUAAUCUUACUGCAGCUCAUUUCUGCAAUAUUAUGACUGAAACUGUACGUUAUAACAAUAAGUGGUUACCUGUAAGUUACUUAAAUGGAAUUUUUUGACAAGUAUAUAAGACAAAAUUAUUGGAAAAAAUAAGAAAAAAAUGUUUGUUAAAAGGUAUAAUGCAUGUAUGCAGACAAAAACAAAAUGAAUAAUUACUUUGUGUUUGAAUAAACUGUAUGAUAAUUGUU